AAUAUUCGACAAUGGGCGAAAGCCUGAUCCAGCUAUGCCGCGUGUGUGAAGAAGGUCGUCGGUUUGUAUAGCACUUUAAGUUGGGAGGAAGGGUUGUAGAUUAAUACUCGGCAAUUUUGACGUUACCGACAGAAUAAGCACCUGCCAACUUCGUUCCAGCAGCCGCGGUAUACGAAGGGUGCAAGAGUUAAUCGGAAUUACAGGGCGUAAAGCGAGCUGACGUGGGUCGUUAAAUUGCAUGUGCAAGCCCCAGGCUCAACCUGGGAACUGCAUCAACAAAUGGCGAACUAGAGUACGGUAGAGGGUGGUGGAAUUUCCUGUGUAGCGGUGAAAUGCGUAGAUAUAGGAAGGAACACCAGUGGCGAAGGCGACCACCUGGACUGAUACUGACACUGAGGUGCGAAAGCGUGGGGAGCAAACAGG
rnacentral:rRNA from 1 species